UCCCCCAGGCACCAGGAGCAAGUCCUCGGGCUGCAAUCAGUAAACACCAGCUGGUUGGGACUUGCCUAGACCAUAAGCACCCUUGGCCUUGAUGGUGGAUGAGUGAGUCAGGCCUAUGCAGGUGCAUCUGUGACUUCAGCAGAACGGCCUGGCCCAGUCAACCCUCAGCACCCCUGCGAAGCCCAUGAAACCUGGACACACAAAGUGUCACAGCCUCGGGGACCUUGGGACCCAUAGAAUCCCAGGCCCCUUCCACCCGUGUUGAACCAGAACCUGCAUUUCAAGCAUUCACGCACACCCAGGAAGCCCUCUGCACAUUCAGGUCUGAGACUGUCUCGCUUAGGACUACCAUGCUUGCCUCACAUGACUUUCUCUUCCCAUGACUUUCUCUCCCUGUGUUUCUGCUGGCUCUGACCAAUCUGAGCUGCCCAAAAGGAACAUCCUCGGUGGCAGUCCAGUCCCCAAGCCUACCACAUCAAUCAGCUCAGGUGAAUUCAAAUGAAGCUAGAUUGGAACUGUAGUGAGACCGACCAUCCUUGAAGGGGAAAUUCAUGUGACGAACUUACUGUAAAGACCACUGGUCACAACAGCUCACAAUGAACACUCGUCUUUGAAUCAAACUUCCAUCAGCUGGCACUGACUUGGGCGUCUACUCUACCAGGAAACCAGUUCCUGGUGCCAAAAUGUGUGGAGGCCACUGAGCCAACAGAUAUGAGAGGAAGAAGAAAACCGGAACAGUCUCACCGUUAUGAGAUAUGACUCAGGAACUCUGGGAUAAAAGAACUUUCAAACCUUGAUUUGGCCCAAUUAGCUAUUUUACAGAUGAGGAACUAAGACUCAGAGGAAAAACCCAACUUUUCAUCAGGGAUGUAAAUUCAGCCUGGGUGCUGUGAUACCUCAGACCCCAAGUGAGUGAAUCCAGGCACUUCCUGUGUCGCCUCCUCUUGACAGUUUCCUCUGAGUGCAUCAGUUUCUUUGUCUUUCCUCUCUUGUCUUCUUUACAUAAUUGAGAACUCUGAAGAAAUUCUCACAUUUUCCGUUGUGUACAAAGAUGUACAAUUUGUGGCCCCUGCACCUCCACUGCCCAUUCCUGGGCCCCUACAGAUUGCUAAACUUCUCCCCAUGAAGUCCGUGGCUCUAUGGGAAACACUUCUAUCCUAAUUAUCUGGGCUGACAGGUGAAAUGAAAGUUCUUUUGCCAUUUUUUCCUGACACAACAUUUGAAUGAAUGCUAGUUGGUAAUGUGAGUUGCUUUGCUUCCCCGAGUAGAGCAUGGGUUCUUUGUGGAUAGGACCAUGUAAAGUUUUCUUCUGUAUCCCAACAAAGUUCUGAUUGCUUUGAAAGGAAGAUGUUCUGAAGUUGCCCCUCUGGCUGGAAAGGACAGGCGCCAUGGUGGGCAGCUCCUGGUCUCUGGGAGAGACAGAUCUGACCUUAAACCAUAGCUCUGCCACUUACUGGUUGGGUGGCCUGGGAAAAAAGACCCCCAUUCUCUGAGCUCAGUUUCCUCAUCUGUAAAAUAGAGGAGCAUAUUGUCUGUCUUCAAGAACAGUACAAAAGGAACACACGCCGAAUCAGCCUGCUGCAGACAGGCAGGUCUGUGCACGCCCUACAGAGGUCCUGAGU